CAGAAGGUGAGCCCCGCUGGCUGUGCCGCUGGCAACAAGCCUGAGGCUUUGCAUUCGGCGCCGGCACCCUCGCAGUCUGUUGACUUUCUCCAGGAGCCGUGGGUGUGGUUAUGUGUGGGUCUUGGCGUGAAGCGCCAUUAGUGCGAGUUAGAACUGCAGCGUUCCAGUAACAACUCGGGGGAAGUCGUUGUCCCUGAAGGGCUCUGCGGCUGGCCAGGAUGAUCUGGGUGGAUGGUGGGUGGUUUCUGGGGGCCGGUCACACUGGUAUCAGCUGUGUUUUGUUUGCACGAACUUUGCUUUGUGUAGGUUUUUUUUUCUGUUGCCAUCUUGGUGUGUGAAAGUGCUGAAUUUUGUUCUUAUUUGAUGGCUGGAGUGGGGUGGAGGGAGCGCCCAGCCUGUGGGACACACGUGGCAGUCCCUGGCUGCUAGGCCAGGAGCGUCCUGUAGAUGCGGUGCACACUACGCCUUCAUCUACCUGGGCUGCAGGUGGCACUGCUCUGUGGGCCCCCGGGGCUGGGGAAGACCACCCUGGCACACGUGAUUGCGCGUCACGCGGGGUACUCUGUGGUGGAGAUGAACGCCAGUGAUGACCGUAGCCCGGAGCUCUUCCGUACACGCAUCGAGGCG
rnacentral:lncRNA from 1 species